AAUCUGGGGAAAGCACUGGUAUUUAUUUGGGCUCUAAGUUGAUGGACCCUUCAUUGUCCAAGGAAAGUCCUUAAGGAUUAAUGUUACCCAAAGAGAGGCCUGGCUUUUUGGCUUUUGGCUUUUGGAAAGCAGUCUCUUUAUCCCUUGAACUUUUUGUUUGACAAUAGUGUCUUUGUUUAUAUGGGCCUCAGGAAUAACUACGUAGUCUGUACUAAUAAGGAUUUAUUGGUAGAUGUUUUGGAUCACAUGCAUGAACUUAGAUAGAACCCCAGUAGGUUAAAGAGUAAAGUUUGAUAUCCAGAUACUAAAUAAUAGAUGAGGUAACGCCCAGUACACUUUCUGGAAUUCCAGGCUUGUGUAAACUUCACUGGUUAGCAACAUACCAUCUGUAUUGUCACACAUUUUUAUCUGGAUUUCUACUGCCUUGAGGGUUUCCUGUCUGGAUGAGUUCAAGACUCACAGAGAGCUCUCAGGGAAAAAAGGGAAGGAGACAUCAAUAAGAAAGCCUUAGUUGGAGCCACCAUGGUUGACAGCAGAGAUCAGAUUCCAUGAGACUGCCUCUGUACAGGGUUCCCCCUCUGUUAAUGCCUGGCAGGGAAUGGGUCCCUUUCCUAGCUGGUGAUAAAUUCCUUGAUUUCCUAAAGUAAGACCUCACCAGCCUGAGAGCCUGAGAGUUCUACAGGGAGGUGAGUGAGCAUUUUUAUCAGCCACCACUGUGUGGACCCUGUCAGAACUGAUGGUAGGAAUGGUAUUCUGUGGCAUCCUCACAGUUCAAGAGCAGAUGAUUCCAUGAGUACUCACUUGGUAGCUCUGGCAUAAAAUAAUCCUCCUAUCUCUCUGCUCAUCUACUAUCUAAUACUACUCCCUCAUAGUAUUCUUCUCAUCUCUAUGAAACUCCUGAGGAAGACCUGCCAGAGCAUGACAACAGGGAACUGCCAGCCUCUACUGGUCCCAGUCUAAGUAGUAUUAAUGUUGUCUCUGUCCUCAUGCAAGGGUUAAGUCCUUGGCUGCUUUCACAGUGAGUAGCCCCUUUUGAUCUGCAGCUUUCCCAACUACUAACCAACACCUCCAAUACCUUUGUCUUGUUCCCUGACUUAAAGAGGUUACCCCAAACAUGAUUGAAACUAAAUAGCAUUAACCAGUGUCUGUCUCAAGGGGACUGGGUAAAGAUAAAGGUGCUAACAGUUGGCUGAGAUCUUGACCUACUAAGAGAGACAGAGGAAAGAAAAAACCUAAUGCCUCAGUCAACCAAAGGUAACCAAGGGCUUCAGAUUCUCAGAAUUCUUGAAGACAAUAAUACUUUAAAAAAAUUAUUACGUAUUUUCCUCAUUUACAUUUCCAAUGCUAUCCUAAAAGUCCCCCAUACCCUCCUCCCCACUCCCCUACCCCCCCACUCCCACUUCUUGGCCCUAGCGUUCCCCUGUACUGAGGCAUAUAAAGUUUGCACGACCAAUGGGCCCCUCUUUCCACUGAUGGCCAACUAGGCCAUCUUCUGAUACAUAUGCAGUUGGAGACAGGAGCUCCAGGGGUACUGGUUAGUUCAUAUUGUUGUUCCAUCUAUAGGGUUGCAGAUCACUUUAGCUCCUUUGGUACUUUCUCUAGCUUCUCUAUUAGGGGCCCUGUGAUCCAUCCAAUAGCUGACUGUGAGCAUUCACUUCUGUGUUUCCUAGGCUCCGGCAUAGUCUCAAAAGAAACAACUAUAUCAGGGUCCUUUCAGCAAAAUCUUGCUAGUGUAUGCAAUGGUGUCAGCAUUUGGAAGCUGAUUAUGGGAUGGAUCCCCGGAUAUGGCAGUCUCUAGAUGGUCCAUCCUUUUGUCUCAGCUCCAAACUUUGUCUCUGUAACUCCUUCCAUGGGUGUUUUGUUUCCAAUUCUAAGAAGGGGCAAAGUGUUCACACUUUGGUCUUGGUUCUUCUUGAGUUUCAUGUGUUUACCAAAUUGUAUCUUAUAUCUUGGGUAUUCUAAGUUUCUGGGCUAAUAUCCACCUAUCAGUGAGUAAAUAUUGUGUGAGUUCUUUUGUGAUUGGGUUACCUCACUCAGGAUGAUGCCCUCCAAGUCCAUCCAUUUGCCUAUGAAUUUCAUAAAUUCAUUCUUUUUAAUAGCUGAGUAGUACUCCAUUGUGUAAAUGUACCACAUUUUCUGUAUCCAUUCCUCUGUUGAGGGGCAUCUGGGUUCUUUCCAGCUUCUGGCUAUUAUAAAUAAGGCUGCUAUGAACAUAGUGGAGCAUGUGUGCUUCUUACUGGUUGGACCAUCUUCUGGAUAUAUGCCCAGGAGAGGUAUUGCAGGAUGCUCCAGUAGUACUAUUGUAUUUCUUUAAGUGAGUUAUUAAAGUCCUUCUUGAUAUCCUCUACCAUCAUCAUGAGAUAUACUUUUAAAUCCGGGUCUAAUUGAAUCCACGGUGGAUCAGAAAGCUAACCUCAGGGAUUUGCAAGAGAGCAUUGAUACUUUGAUUGGCAAUCUGGAACGUGAGCUCAACAAAAACAAGCUGAACAUGAGUGUUUGAGAUGGACGGCUUGUUUUAUUUGUGAUGAUGUCAUCAAGUUUCAUGUCAAUCCUUUUUCUGGGGAAAAAUAUAUAUAUAACAUAUUAUAUAUAUAUUGGAUCCUUAAGUUAAUUCUUAAUAAGUUCAUGUCAUUCAAUUAUAAACACUAUUCAUUAAUAUGGUUAUUUUACUUGUGAACUGAGCUGUUCUGGGCAUAAAGGUAACCAGACCUUGGGGGAUAUUUUAAUAAACCUUGCCAGUUGUAUGGAGGAGACAUGCAGAUGUUUGUAAGGGUCGGGUACGUUAUUACCCCGACAAGGCUUCGGCGAGAAUGUUCUUCUGUACGUGGAGACGGAUGUUCUCUGCAGAGGACACUGCAGCUGGACUGAUUUGCAGUCAGAGUCCCUGUGCAAUGUCAUUUGGUCAUAUUUCAUUUGCAAUAUGAAUGCUGCUGCUAUAAGAAAAAAUUUUAUAAAUGUAAAAUUAUACAGGUAUUAAUGUAUUUUGUAUUAACAUUUCGUAAUUAUUUAAGCUUAUAAAAAUUAAAUAUUUUUAUGGUUCUGAGAAUAUAUAUUUAUAACUUAAUUAUGCGUAUAGGUUUUAGAAUGAGGGAAGGGGUUGGUUACAGCAUUCCAAAUAUUUUAAAAAUAAGGCCAAAGUUAUUAGCUUAAAAAUGUCUUCUUCAGGGAAAGAAUGUUUAAGUUAAAAGACAAGUUACAUAAAGACCACUUGAAUAAAAACGCACC
rnacentral:lncRNA from 1 species